AUGUUUAGCCUAAGCUCCCCUCCCCUAGCUCUCGAGAGGAAGCUAAAGCUCUCCACCACCUACACUAUUCUCCUAGUGAUGUUCCUCUUCACUCUCUACAUCACCUCAUGUGAAGCUCGUCGUCUCCGCGUCAAUGGCAAGCACUCAAGCAGCAGCAAGUCUUCCUCGUCAUCCCAGGAUGCGGCAGAGGUUGCUAAUGCCCAGAAGAAAACGAGAAGCUCGUUGAUGGUUCACGAUGCGGGGAAGAAGGCUCGAGCUGCCGGAAGCAGCAUCGAUCAGCCGACGGGCGCGGGAGCAACAUUGAUCAAUCGAUCAGGUGGAAUACGAAACACCACGCAUGCCGCUAGGGUUUCGCAGCAGCUUCCUCAUCGCAAGCACGUGGAUGAUCAGGGAAUUCACCUGGAUUAUGCUCAGCCUAGAACCCGCACUCCGUAUCACAACUGA
rnacentral:rRNA from 1 species